AGACCGCAGCGGGAGCCAGAGUGAUCUCGUGAUCUCCCUCUCCUCCAUCGGGGAUCGGCGUGGGGAAAUCGAUGGUAGCUGGCUGCGUAGAUCAUCCCGAUCGAUCGCCUGCCUGAUUAGAACAGAGGAAGAAGAAGGCGAGAGGGGAUGGGUUGGUGGUGGGGUGGACAGCAGAAGAACAAAGAACCGUGCAAGAAGGAGGCGUGCGACAUCCAGGCCUGCCUCUCCAAGAACAACUUCAACCCCGAGAGGUGCAUGAAGGUCAUUGGACUGUUGCAACUAUGCUGUGAAAAGUGCAACUAUGACUCAACACAUUGUGCUCCACUUGCUGGACUUCUGAAAACAAAUACCAAGUGACACACUGCAAAUAUUGAACCAUGAAGCUUCAUGAUUACCCAACAGUAAUUUCUCUGAGCUGAAAGAAUGGAGAAAUGGCAGAUUUAGAUGACUUUCUAUGAUGGAGAAAUGGACUACUGACGAUGUAAAACAACUUUUUCUUUUUUGCACGGCAUGUUCACGUCUGCUUUUUUCCCCGGUUUUUUUAGAACUUUAGCUGUAGUAUUUUAAGUUGAAAAUUGUGAGAAAAAAAAUUGAAAUUGCAGAAGAAUAGCAAGAUAAUUUCUGUUUUCA